UUUUAUGUAUGUUACAUCAGAACUUUUGCCCGUGUGGACCGAUUUCGACAAAUUUUCUUUUAAUCGAAAGGUGGUGUGUGUCAAUUGGUCCCAUUUAAAUUUAUUGGAGAUCUAACAACUACUUUUCGAGUUAUAUCUAAUAAUGCGUUUUUACUUGACGCUUUUUUCGCCGACCUACGUUGUAUUAUACCGCAUAACUUUCUACUGGAUGUACCGAUUUUGAUAAUUCUUUUUUUGUUGGAAAGGAGAU
rnacentral:misc_RNA from 1 species